rnacentral:rRNA from 1 species
CAAUAGCGUAUAUUAAAGUUGUUGCAGUUAAAAAGCUCGUAGUUGGAUUUCUGUUUUUAGUUACCGGUCCGCUCAUGUAUUUGAGUGUGUACUAUGGUUACUGAAUUCAUUUUUUGAGAGGAUCCUUGGCCGGCAUUAAGUUGUCCGGCCUUGUGUACUUUCAUCUUUUACUGUGAAAAAAUUAGAGUGUUUAAAGCAGGCGUUCGCUUUAUUUGAAUACAUUAGCAUGGAAUAAUAAGAUACGACUUGUGUGGUCUAUUUUGUUGGUUUGCACACGCGAGUAAUGAUUAAUAGGGACAGUUGGGGGUAUUCAUAUUACAUUGUCAGAGGUGAAAUUCUUGGAUCGAUGUAAGAUGAGCUUAGGCGAAAGCAUUUACCAUGGAUGUUUUC